rnacentral:rRNA from 1 species
UACAGAGGGGGCAAGCGUUGUUCGGAAUUACUGGGCGUAAAGGGCGCGUAGGCGGCCGCCUAAGUCAGACGUGAAAUCCCUCGGCUCAACCGGGGAACUGCGUCUGAUACUGGGUGGCUUGAAUCCGGGAGAGGGAUGUGGAAUUCCAGGUGUAGCGGUGAAAUGCGUAGAUAUCUGGAGGAACACCGGUGGCGAAGGCGGCAUCCUGGACCGGUAUUGACGCUGAUGCGCGAAAGCCAGGGGAGCAAACGGG